rnacentral:rRNA from 1 species
GUGCCAGCAGCCGCGGUAAGACGUAGGAUGCAAGCGUUGUCCGGAUUUAUUGGGCGUAAAGAGUUCGUAGGUGGUUUGUUAAGUCUGAUGUUAAAGACUGGGGCUCAACCUCGGAAAUGCAUUGGAUACUGGCAGACUCGAGUGCAGUAGAGGCAAGUGGAAUUCCAGGUGUAGCGGUGAAAUGCGUAGAUAUCUGGAAGAACACCGGUGGCGCAAGCGACUUGCUGGGCUGUAACUGACGCUGAGGAACGAAAGCUAGGGGAGCAAAUGGGAUUAGAUACCCCAGUAGUCC